GCUGUUGUCCAAGCUGGAGUGCAGUGGCGUGGUCUCAGCUCACUGCAACCUCCGCGUCCCAGGUUCAAGCAAUUCUCCUGCCUCAGCCUCCCAAGUAGCUGGGAUUACAGGCACCCACCCACCACACCCGGCUAAUUUUUGUACUUUUAGUAGAGACGGGGUUUCACCAUGUUGGCCAGGCUGGUCUCAAACGCCUGACCUCAUGAUCCGCCCAUCUCGGCCUCCCAAAGCACUGGGAUUACAGGCAUGAACCACCGCGUCCGCCCUCAUUUAGUUUUUUAUUUGUUUCAGGGACCUGCAGCCAAGUUUGUUACUGAUGAGCUUGCUGGGUCGUCUUGAAAAGCAGGCUUACAGGUCAGAUGCCCAUUGUGCAGACAUGGUAACAAGUUUCAAGUACGGCACAUCUCACACAUGUGCGUGAAACACCCAAUCAUCAUGCUCAUGAACUACCAGAGGAUCAUCAUUUCUAGGCUGUACAGCAGCCAUGACGCUGGCAUCUGCUUGGCUUCUGGGGAGCCCUCGGGAAACUUACAAUCAUGGCAGAAGGUGAAGGAGAAGCAGUGUCCAUUCUCCAGUAUGGUUUUGGGGGAGUAUGGCUUCCUACCUACCGCGGACCACCUGUCAACUCUGGGCUGUAACAUGAGAGAAUUGUGAACUUCUGUCUUCUUUGAGCCAUGGUUUCAUUCUCUUUUUCAGCCAUGUAGCCUGUGCUGUAACUCAGUGCCACAUUAGCAACAAGUAAAAGUCAAUGUGGGUAAAUUUGUCAUUCUUCAGGUUAGAACAUUUCUUCCUUUUAUUCUUGUGUUUUUGGCUAAAUAAACUGGGAAAUUAUAGUAGAGAGGUGUGUGGAGUCUCUUUGCUCAAUUCUAUAACCCAUCUGGAGAGGUUAUAAACUUGUAAAGAAAUCUGUGAUAUGUAAACUCAGUUUGUGAUUGUAAUGUAUAUAAUUUUUGAGUCAGGAUUUCUCUCUAAUUGGACUAUGCUUGUAAAUGUUUAGUUUAUAUGUGUUAAUGGAAUAGGGCCAUAACACAAGUAUCCUAAAUUAAAUUUAACCAGUAUUAAUGGAAUAAGUACUCAAUUAAUACUCAAAAUGUGCCAGAAAUGAUCCUACAUGGGAUACAGAGUUAUAAAAUAUGGUUCUUAUCCUUAGGGAGUUAACAUUUUGAUGAGGGAGAAAGGAGAUUCUUAAUUAUAAUUUCCCUAAAUGGCAAUUUCAAUAAGAGUAGUAUAAAUGGUGAAUUCAAUUUUAGAGGAAAAGGUGGGAUGCUUUAUGAAGCAAAUAAAAAAUAAUGCAAAGUUUACUUCUAUAUGGCUUUGGAAUGCAUCAAAUUAUCUUUCACAGGAUCACAUUGAAAUUAUUCCCUGCCCGCUGCGGGGCACAUUAAGGUGGCAGAAGGAGAGGGAUAGAAACGUUACCUUGAAGGCAGAGGGCUGCUCUAUGAGGUGUGAAAAGUUGCUAUUAGAUACUGUUGUAGUUUACCGAGUUAACUUUUUUGUUUCAAUUAUAGCUUUCCUUACCAAAGAUUUGCUAUUCUAGUACUAGUGGUAAGCCUUAAUCAACCUGAAAUUAUAUACAAAAUAAUUAGCUUAAAAUAACAAUGUUUUCUUUCCUAUUUUAUGAAGAAGAGAAAAACGAUUCUUAAUAGAAUGAUGCCUGGAUUGGUGGAAUCCUCACAUUUCCUAAAAUUCUUCAGUGCUAGAAAAGCUAAUGCCAAUCCACUUCCACUAUAGUUUCAUGUUGGUGGUGCACGGAAAUUUUUCAUUUUUGGCUUCGUCUCUAAACUCAAGUGAUUACAUUUUAUAAUAAAGAGAAAUUUAAAUUAAUAGCAACUUAAGUUCUGAGCUAUUGAACACUAAACUUAUGCUAUUUAAAAAAAAAUUUGGCUACAACUGUUUAGUCUAUACAUUCUUCCUUUUCUUGUCUGAGAUAAUUCAGGUCAAUAAUCCCAAUCAAAAAAUGUUCAUUGAGCUACUGCUAAUAUAUAAGGCAAUGUGCUAUGUAGGCCCAAGAGUUAAAGGCAGUUUCAAGCUAGUGAAUAAAUGUGCAUACUAUAUGAUGGACAUGUCAAAUCAAGUUUGAAUCAAGUCCUAUGGGUCCACCACAGAGAGAGUGAUUCAUUCUAAGUUGAUAAGUGUCCAGUAAUAUAUUCACCAUGGAUGUGGCAUUUAAAUUGGCCUUGAAUGCUGUAUUAGUUUCAUACGGCUGACAUAACAAAGUACCACAAACUUGAUGGCUUAAAGCAACAGAAAUUUAUUCUCUCAUUUUUCCCGAAGCUACGUGUCUGAAAUCAAGGUGUCAUCAAGGCCAUACUCCCUCUAAAGUCUUGAGGACAGGAUCUUUCCUUGCCUCCUUCAACUUCUGGUUGCCCAAGGCAUCCCUUGGCUGUGACAGUAUCACCACAGUCUCCGUCUCUAUCUUCCC